rnacentral:tRNA from 1 species
GCCUUCGUGGUAUAAUGGUCAGCACACUCGACGCGUAUUAGAGCGGUCGGAGGUUCGAGUCCCAGCGAGGGCA